rnacentral:tRNA from 1 species
GGGUAGGGUUGGGGUAAAAUUUUCGCUCGAUGACUGAAACCCUUGUAAAUUCAACCUUUUCCAUAGCCUUCCAAGCUAUUGAUGCGAGUUCGAUUCUCGCUGCCCGCU